rnacentral:rRNA from 1 species
UGCGCAGGCGGUUUCUCAAGUCAGGGGUGAAAGCCCAGAGCUCAACUCUGGAAUUGCCCUUGAAACUGUGAGGCUCGAGUGCGGGAGAGGUGAGUGGAAUUCCCAGUGUAGAGGUGAAAUUCGUAGAUAUUGGGAAGAACACCGGUGGCGAAGGCGGCUCACUGGCCCGUUUCUGACGCUCAUGCACGAUAGCGUGGGGAUCAAACAGGAUUAGAUACCCUGGUAGUCCACGCUGUAAACUAUGGACGCUAGCCGUUGGGUAGCUUGCUAUUCAGUGGCGCAGCUAACGCAUUAAGCGUCCCGCCUGGGGAGUACGGCCGCAAGGUUGAA